GGACCUUUAGCUCAGUUGGUCAGAGCAGACGGCUUAUAACCGUCCGGUCGUAGGCUCGAGUCCUACAAGGUCCACUA
rnacentral:tRNA from 1 species